rnacentral:lncRNA from 1 species
CUAACCUACGACAUAACAAAAUUGUGUUGCUUAGUAUAUACAUUUUAGAGUUUAAAUUAAAAUUGAAUUUUAAUCACGAAAAAAAAAAAUUCAACCUUUUUAAAAAUGAAAAAUCUAAAAAAGCUACGUACAGUCGUAUAGCCCUCGAAAAUAUAUUUUCUUUACAUUUCGUUAUUUAUGGUUAAACUCCGGUUUCAACCUAAACGCCAAAAUUUACGUCGUAUCACAUAAUUAAUAAUGGACAAUAAUUUAGAGCUAAUUUGUUAAUAGAAAGUCUACGUUUUAUUUUUCUUUCUUACUUCUAAUGUAUGCAUUAUCUAAAUGUAAAAAAUUAAGUAAUGAUGGUGUAUAAAAACUGUAAGCGUUUUUCUAUGUAUUUUACAGAUAACGAAAAAAAAUCAUAAAACAAUCUAACAUGAAUAAUGUUAGGUAUAUUCUAUAUAACUUUUAUUUCUUUAAUCAAAUCGAAUUGACGAUGAGAACAAAUAGUGGGAAUCAUUACAUUAUAUUUCGAACAGGACCGGUCGGUGAGCAGUACACGAAUUUUUAAGCGAAAGGAUUGGUAUGUCUUAAGUCGUAUCAACGACGUCUAAUAAAACCUAAAUUACCUUGAAGAUUUAUUGUUUUAACGUAAGUAGCCACAUUUUAUUUUUAGACUAAGUGUACAGUAUCAUAUUAUUAUUUAUUUUAAUUAUAUUUUACAUUUGUUUAACUGCAUUUUUUACUAUAAUAUUAUCAUAAUUUUGUAUAAGUAACAUUUUUUUUUUCUGUUAUGUGUUUUACAUAGUCAUUUGAGUGUGGGAAAUGCUAAUAAACAAAAUAUUGUGUACACGGCGACCCGGAACCCUUGCCCGUCCGAGCGUUUCUGGAUUCGCGUCGGUACGUCUGUAGCGUAUAUUAUGUACCCACGACUGCGGAAAAUCGUCUCGGGGUCAGGAGGGGCGGUCGGAUUUGACGUUUUGCAGGGAAGGACGUUUCACCAUCGGGUAUACAGGGUGAUUUUUUUUUUGUCAUGAUUCGACUUUAUUAUGUCUACCAAAAACCAAAAUUGAUUUUGAUUUUUUUCUGUAUAGUUAUAUUCUUAUAUGUUAUACAGAAUUGUAAAUCGUUUAAUGAUAAUAUUUACUAUUGGUUUCAAAAUUGUACCUUUAUUCCGAACAUCGUAUAAACCCGUAGGUGUCGACUUUUGAUUCUAAAAUAGCGACCUUCUUUUCAAACCACAUUUAAAAAGAGAAUAUUUUUCCAUAGAAAUAUUAAUAUGCAUAACACUAUAAUAUUAGAUAUACCGUUUGAACAUUUAAAAAUAUAGUGUUAAAACAAAAUUUAAUAAUUUUGUUAGCAAUGAUUUAUCAUUGCAAACAAAAAACGAUUCUGACCGGAGUUCAGUUGAUAGUGAUGCUUUGUCAUCAAUAUAUAUAUGUCAUAUUAUGGUAAAAUAAUUAAAUAGGCAUUACAUAUUUUCUUUAAUAAUAUUUGUUUAAUAUUAAUCAGAUUUUCCCGUUUUUCUUAUGAUUUUCUAGGUUUUCACGUGUUUUUUCCCGGUUUUUCACAACUACUAGGAUAAUUAUUGAAAAAAUUCAAAAAAUGACCUCCUUAAAAAACCUUCCCAGUCAGAUUCCUUUUCAGAAAAAGCACUAUCCAUUGUAAGCUGGAACAAAAUUUCUGAUAGAAAAGUUGUUCAUAGAAAAAAAGAAGUCCGUAAUAUUUUUUUAACUUAGUAAUAAUGGGUACCUAUGUACAUUAUUUAUUACAUUUUCCCGUUUUUCCUCAGUUUUUUUUUUCGGUUUUUCACAUUUGAUGAGACUCCUGAGGAAAUCAAAAAAUGACCUUCUUAAAGUACCACCCUAAGAAAAUUUCCUUUCAGAAAAUAUGCUACAUUUAAAAAUUAGAGCAAGAUCUCUAGUAGAAAAAGUGUCCACAGAGAGAAAAAAAAACAUUUUUGUAAAACCAUAAGCUUCUUUGCUCCAUUCAGAAUCUAAAACAGAAACAAAUGUACGUAAAAUCGCCCAGAAAAUCACCGAAUCGUUGGAAAAAAAAAAUCACCCCGUAUAUAUUAUACAGUUGCCGGUGUUGGCGGACCGCAAAUGUCGGUCGCUGGUUGAAUGGGUCACGCGGGGCCAGUGUCGGGAACCGUAAUAUCGAAUACACCUAUAUAUUAUAUGGGUGUCCGGAUGUCCGGUUUUGCAGGAUUUCAUUUGAUAAUCAGGAUUUUCGUAUGCGUUUAUAUUGUAUUUUUCAAACUAUUGUACCCUACAUACCCGAUUCUGUUUCGUAUCGUUGCGUUUUAAUUAACCAUUUUAUUUCAUUUUAUGCGUGUGCGUGUGUGUAAUUAUCGACCUGCAUUGUUUUUACAAUAUCAAUUUAAAUAAAAAAAUAUAGGUAAUAAAUAAUUACAAAGUUUAUCGUGAAAACGAUCUACCGCAGUGGGACAAUGGCCGAUUGCCAAAACUGAGCAGUAUAAUGUACAGAGUUACUUAAUACAUGAUACUUUUGUUUUUUUAGUUAUCAAGUUAAGUUAGUAGUUAUAACUCUAUAGAGGCACAAUUAUUAUACUUAUUAUAGUUGGAAAAUAUAUUUAUUUUUCUUUUAUAAUAUCAUUAUAAACUCACUAUAUUUAUAUGUCUGUAUUAUAGUAUACAUUUUCAAGUUAAAUACUUGAAACUAAGUAUAUUAUUUCUUAUCUGCAUUAUGAAUUAUUAUGACUAAUUAUGAGCACGCUGUAAUAAAUACACGCGUUCUCGUCGAAAAAAAAAAAUUACUAUUCAAAUAAAAUUAUAAAUGCGGUCUUUAAUUAUUAUUUAAAAUACGAUCAAAAAAUGUAUAUCAGAGCUCUAUCAUUAGUACAAAGAAUUUCCUCCCAGCUAAAUUAUUGUCGUUAAUUUCAUGUUUUUUUUUUUUUAUUAUUCAUAUGUAUAAUGAUAAGGAAUUGAACAAAAAAAGUUUUACUAAAAUAGGUGAAGUUGUUCUCGAGAUUUUUGCUACACGCAUAAAUGGUGGGCUCGGGGUUUGUAAGUUCAAACCUUCUAAAGGCACAUCAGUGAUAAUAAUUCUAUUUAUAUAUACUUAUUUCAACCAAGUUAUGCUUACUUGCAUUAGUCUGUAAGAGUACCUACUUAGAACCUGCUGUUUUCUGUAAAACGUAAAAUCUAAGCAUAACAAUGGUUGGAGAGGGGGUUGAAAGUUGAAACCACCAAAGUCACCAAGCGUAUAUGAUAUACAAAAUAUUAUGUACUUGCACAGUGGGCCAUAUAUUAAUAAAAAUAGACGAAACCGAAAACAAAAAAUUAUAUCGUCGGUUUUAUAGCAGAUUAUAUUUGUUUACGUUGUAUAGAUAAUGUUUGUUGCAAUAUUUGACGAUUUCUCCGUCAUUUAAAACUUACCUUAGCUUAGUAGUUAGCUUAGUAAGCUAACUAAUAAAUUAUGACGAUCGUGCCAAAGUUAUUUUCUCAUACAUUAAAUUAAAGUUAAAUCUAUUUUUAGGAAUUAAAAAAAAAAUAAAUAUAUUUUUUUUCUUAAUAAGCGAUGGAAAGUAUGCUGUAGAAUACGCGAUCGUUUUGAACAAAUAAACGAUAAUUUGAUUAAAAAAAAUUGACAAUUUCUUAAUAUUCCUCCACUAAAUACUUCUUCUGGUAGACCUCAAGUGUCAUUUUCAGUUCAUUUUUCAUUGUGUCUCAUGAUAUGUAUGUUAUAAUUUAAAUUGGUGAUAAAAAUAAAUAAAUUACAAUUUUUAAUUUGCUAAUUUUACUUUAUACUUUAUACUAGCGCUACUAUAGCCUGCAGUUAAAAACAUUUAAGAUAAUAGGUCACACAAAUUGUUCUGAUUAAAAAAUAUCACACUCAUAACCCUUCAAAAAAGGGUUAAGAUAUUAAAAUUAAUAUCAAAUUUGGAUUUUGUGAUCUCAAAAACGUAUAUUUUGAUGUAUGUAACAAUGGUUUUAUGUACAUUUUUGGGAAAUAUUAAUUUUUAUCUGUUUUUUUGGGAUUAUGGCCUACUGUGCUACAAUAAUUAUGUAUUACUGAACUGCGCUCAGAAUCGUCUUUCGUCAAGUAAUGGUUCUCAAUAAUGGUCAAGUAAUCUUAUAUAUCCUACCUUCCCAACUUCUCACCUACAACAGUGGCCAUUCCCAUCUCCAGUAUCAGCUCCUUUUUUUAAAUUAAUAAGUAUAUUUUACUAUAAAAUAAAUUAUUAAAGAUAAUUUUUGUUUUAGGUUUUAUUUUAUGUGGCAAUGUCAUGUGGUUCAGUGUGCUUUAUAAUUUGUGUUAAUUAUAAUAGUUCAUUAGAUUAAUUCUCGUGUUCCUAAAAAUUGGGAGAAAUUUUGAAGGUUAAUGUACAAUAUAAAAUAUAUUGUCGCCUUUACUUGAAUUGCAUUACAAAUUUUGAUGAAUGCGAAUCGUUCAUUACAAAAAUAAAGAAUGAUGAACGGCAAUGUAUUCCUUUUCAAAAAGAAUUGUCUAUAAACACUGCAUACAUUUUACUGUCCGGCUUCCACGACUGCGUGACGAACAAUUUACCAGAGGAGGAUCCAAAAACAUAUACACGUAUACCCUACGUAUAUCCUCCCCUAUACCCGGCAGGACUUUUCCCUUCGGGUUUUUCUAUAAUACCUAUACUCCGCUGCAGUUUAAAAGAGGUGUGGUGCACGGGUCAAGGACGAAGAUUUAUCAACGACGACAGUCGUCAACAAAAUUAAUCGAAUUAAGCUCGCCGAUCGCUACGCGGUGUAAAAACCAUUCGUAUGCUUUAUUGGAUUUUAUAUACCUACAUACACACACAUACAUAUAAAUUAAAAUCUAUGUAGUGGAAAACAUAUUAUAGGUAUUUUAUUUAUUAUUUUUAUUUUUUUCGACGCAGAAGCAAUAUAAUACGCGUUUCAGACUACCGUUUAAGUGCGCGUCGCUUUUUAUAUAAUUAUAUUGUGUUCAAAUUAAAAAUACCUAUAAUACCGAGUACCGGUGUAUAACGAACACCGAAACGCGUAUCAACGCACAUUAUUGUAACUAAAUCAUAAAAAACAAAACGAACAAAUUCAAAAAUAAUAUACAAAAUGCAGAACAAACACCAUAAAGAAAUCCAAACGACAAUGCGAAAUUUUAAAAACGUUUUUAUAACCGCUGACGGACAAUAGUGUUAUACAUGCAACAUAAUAUUAUGUAUAUACAUAUGUACCUACUUACAAAGGAAUUAUUACCACUGGUUCACUGCAUUCUACCUCACCGUAUACACAUUACACGGUCAUUAUAAUAUUCAUCAUAAUUACAAUAUUAUUUUAUGAUGCGAUGUAUAGGUAUCUAAUUUUCUAUUAUCUCUAAUCUACACCAUUAAUUAAAAAUGUCAAUGAUAUUGAUGUCAAAACCCAACCUUUUCUUGACAUUCACCUGUUGUAUGCGUAGCGCGGUUAUCACGGUGAUAAACUUACGUGCGUGGGUUGCGUUUGAUUAGCAGUUUCGACUCAAUAUUAUGAUAUGAGUCACUGUUCGUGUUUUAACUCGAGUUGGUAACGUUUUUGUGUAGAUGUUCAAAACAGUACAAUAGUAUAAUAUAUUUUAAUGUAUAAUGUAUUAUGUACUUAUGUAUUAGGCGAUUUUUAGUAAUUCAAAAUUGUAUAUUACACCUAUAGUUGACAUUAUUAUGUACAAUGUAAAUGUCUGUAGUUAAUUAUUUAUGUAGGUAUAGUGGGUACCUUUAAUAUUAUCACUGAACGCAUGGUAAAUUUCAUUUUUGCUACAUUAUUCGUGAUGUAUACCAGAAAAUAUUAUAACGUACACUGUGUUUGUUCAUAAUAUAUCAAUGAUUAAUCAAACUUUUGGGUACAUAAUAUAUGCUUUGGAAAGUAUUCGAAACAUACGUUUUUAGACCCAAAGCUGGGUUUUUUUUAUUGUGUGUGUUAACAACUUUUUUACCAGGAAUCUUGCUUCAGACAAAAACUGUAAUAAGAACUUUCUUUAUCAUUUUUCAUUUCGUUAGUACAUUGAGGAGGUGAUUUUUUGAUUUUCCUUGUGGUUUUUUUGAAUAAAAAUGGGAAAAAUGUUUAGGUUAGCCUAACAACAAACAUUAUUGAUUAGCUAAUGUGUAAGAAAGUCGUUUUUUGAAUUUUCGUGUAGAUUUUGUAACACCUCGUUGAGAAAAAUGUAGAAAAGAUCGUUAAGUUUACGGGAUUAACGGUUUCAGUUUUUUUCGGUUUUG